AUUGAACGCUGGCGGCAUGCUUUACACAUGCAAGUCGAACGGCAGCGCGGGCUUCGGCCUGGCGGCGAGUGGCGAACGGGUGAGUAAUGCAUCGGAACGUGCCCAGUAGUGGGGGAUAGCCCGGCGAAAGCCGGAUUAAUACCGCAUACGACCUGAGGGUGAAAGCGGGGGAUCGAAAGGCCUCGCGCUAUUGGAGCGGCCGAUGUCGGAUUAGCUAGUUGGUGGGGUAAAGGCUUACCAAGGCGACGAUCCGUAGCUGGUCUGAGAGGACGACCAGCCACACUGGGACUGAGACACGGCCCAGACUCCUACGGGAGGGAGCGGUGGGGAAUUUUGGACAAUGGGGGCAACCCUGAUCCAGCCAUGCCGCGUGCGGGAAGAAGGCCUUCGGGUUGUAAACCGCUUUUGUUCGGGAAGAAAUGCUCUGGGCUAAUACCCCGGGGGGAUGACGGUACCGGAAAAAUAAGCACCGGCUAACUACGUG
rnacentral:rRNA from 1 species